UGUGGGAGCAGGCUUGCCUGCGAUGCAGGCACCUCAGUCCAUCAGGCACACCCAGUGGAUGCCAUCGCAGGCAAGCCUGCUCCCACA
rnacentral:misc_RNA from 1 species